AUUGAACGCUGGCGGCAGGCUUAACACAUGCAAGUCGAGCGGAGUGAUGGUGCUUGCACUAUCGCUUAGCGGCGGACGGGUGAGUAAUGCUUAGGAAUCUGCCUAUUAGUGGGGGACAACAUCUCGAAAGGGAUGCUAAUACCGCAUACGUCCUACGGGAGAAAGCAGGGGAUCACUUGUGACCUUGCGCUAAUAGAUGAGCCUAAGUCGGAUUAGCUAGUUGGUGGGGUAAAGGCCUACCAAGGCGACGAUCUGUAGCGGGUCUGAGAGGAUGAUCCGCCACACUGGGACUGAGACACGGCCCAGACCCCUACGGGAGGCAGCAGUGGGGAAUAUUGGACAAUGGGGGGAACCCUGAUCCAGCCAUGCCGCGUGUGUGAAGAAGGCCUUAUGGUUGUAAAGCACUUUAAGCGAGGAGGAGGCUCUUCUGGUUAAUACCCAGGAUGAGUGGACGUUACUCGCAGAAUAAGCACCGGCUAACUCUGUGCCAGCCGCCGCCGUAAUAC
rnacentral:rRNA from 1 species